rnacentral:rRNA from 1 species
UACGAGGGGGGCAAGCGUUGUUCGGAAUUAUUGGGCGUAAAGGGCUCGUAGGCGGUCCGUCACGUCGGGAGUGAAAUCCUGGGGCUUAACCCCAGAACUGCUUCCGAUACGGGCAGACUAGGGGUAGGUAGGGGAGAAUGGAAUUCCUGGUGUAGCGGUGGAAUGCGCAGAUAUCAGGAGGAACACCAGUGGCGAAGGCGGUUCUCUGGGCCUUACCUGACGCUGAGGAGCGAAAGCGUGGGGAGCAAACAGG